rnacentral:lncRNA from 1 species
AGUGGUGUGAUCCCAGCUGACUGCAGCCUCAAGCAAUCCUCUCAGCCUCCUGAGUAGCUGGGACCAUGGGUAUGCACCACCACGCUUGUCUUUCUGGGGUUUUGAGAUGAUGGCAUUGCCAUGUCUCUGCAGAAAUAACUUCUUCAGGCAUAUGUCAGCUACAAGGAGGCAUUAUUUAAAUGAAACAGUAGGUUCUGAGAAACAGAAGAGUAGGUUUGGGAAAGUUCUCACUCACGUGCUUGUAAAAAAUAAAGCAAACUGCUAGCAUCAGAGUGGGCAGUUAGCAGCCGCCUUUCAGAACAGGAAGCAAAAUGAAUGAAAAAUUAAUGCCUCAUGUGUCAGGCAUUCUAUGGGCUUUGUCUCAUUUGGCCCUCACAACAACUUUGUGAGGUGGACAAGUGUUAUUCCCAUUGUACUGAUGAGGGAACAGACUCAAAUCGUUGAUUUACCCAACAUCACAGCCAGUAUGUAGCAAUCUUUGGCUCAGAACUCAGGUCUCCCGUGUCAACUCAGGAUGCCUCUGGCAGUGGAGCACACUGCUGCCCCUUCCACUUUUUCUAGCACAUUCUGAAGAUGCAUGAAGCCUGAGUCAUUCACUUUAAAUCAAGCCAAAACAAAGUGGGCUUCAGUGUGGACUUCUGAGUGCUAGAUACUGAGUUGCCCUUAAAAAAAAAUUAACUUAUUUUAAGCACUGAAAGCUCAGAUUUCCACAAAAUUCAGUUCUCAAUAAAUCCUAUGGCUGAAUUCUUUACAGACAUUUUGGAAAGAAUGCCAAAAAAAAAAAAUCUGAAACUAAAAAUAGGAUGUUUGUUAAAGUCCCACACCAGAAGAUAAUUUAGAAAUUUAUUACAAAACUUUUAAUAAAAAAUACAAUGAUAUUACAAAUUUGGUUUUCCAAAGCUUUCAAAUUUUUCUUAACAUUAUCUUUCGUUUUAAGAACACUUUUGAAGUCGGCAGUUAUUUAAAAUCCUUACUAGAAAAAAACCAAAGCCCAAGGAUUUUGCAUUUAGUCAUCAUCUAGGUAUACAGCGUGUUUUCCGAAAGCAUCCUUUAAGAGUUUGGAGAUUUGAUGAAAUUGCUCAUGUAAUAAGCAGUUAGUGAAUACUAUUGAAUCCUAAACCCAGAUAAGUCAUCUUGGGCUGGCUGUGUUUUUCAUGUGAAGAAACUCAUUUAUAGCACAGGCACCCCAGGCCAAUAGAGAUGAUUACAGAUCUCUGGUUUCAGAAGUUCUGACCCCUUAUUCAGCUACCAAAUACUUAAUUGCUAAAGGAAUUACUCCCAGCAGGCACAAAACGGUUUCUGAAUAUGACAGAAAAGGUACACAAAGAAUCAUUUAAGACAUCCUGGUUACAACAUACUUUAUCUUUAAAAGGGUGUGAGAGUAGUUGGGGAACUUAGAAAUUCUGUGACUUAGGUGUGGGUGGAUCUUAUUUAGGAAGACUAAAGCUAUGGACACAACACGUGAAAGAACCACUCAGAAGCAGCCCUAGGAAGCCCAGGUGCCCACAUCGAAAGCACUCCCAGGUGAAAGCAGCCAGGCAGGCGUGGGCAUUGUACAACCAGCCUCAGGCCUCAGUUCUUGAUUGUGGUUGACGGGGCGUCACCAUGAAGGAGCCCAUUUAGUAUAAAGCUUCCAACCUUUUCUCUUAAUCGUUUCUUUAAUCUUUUAAACCAUCUUCAAGUGCAUAGGGGAGUUUCCGAUGCCAGAGGAUGAAAGCAAGUGCUUUCUCCACCCUCUCCUCCCAGAGUGAAAACAAAUCCUUUUGCUGAUACUUGUUUCAAAAGCAUCCAUUGUAAAGCUUCUCAGUGACACAAAAUACUGAGAGGUAACUUUUUAUCAAUCAAACCACAUACCCCAAUUUAACACCUUUCAGUGCUCUGAAUUCAACUGACAGACUAAAGGGUGUUUCCUGUAACAGUCUGAAAUAUUAAGUGUUUUUUUUGUUUUGUUUUUAAAUCUUAUUUCAGAAAACUUCCUCUUGGGGUAGGAAAGUACACAUGAAGCAGCAAAGUAACGAAGAAAAACUUAAAUAGGGCCUUCAGAGAUCCCACACACUACAAAGAUUCUGCCAAGCCAUAAGAUAAGUGUGAAGCCCAGUAUAUGUCCAGCUUUUCUCCUCAGGACAUCUUCAGUGUUUCUUCUCUUUUAAACACCACAUCAGGUUCUAGCCACAGACUUGUGUUUUGGGUGUGCCUGCUUUGAGGGGUCCAUGCCCAGUGUGUCUGCUGGUGACCCAGGACUCAGCAGUAAUGACUAACGGCCGCCCUUCAGGAUCACAGAUGUGCUUGGUGGUGGUGGCAAAGCAUGGCACUUGUGUGCAGUGAUGAGAAGCAGCACACGGCAAGGCUGAGCCCUUUAUCAGCAGGCCUCCGUAGAGCGUGUCUGCGUUGUCAGCUGCCAAUGGGCUGAGUGGCUGGCCGUACCCACUCAGUCCAAGAGAGGAAGGAAACAGCAGGAGAAGCUGUCAGCUUGCCAUUCAUGAGCUGCUGCUGCCCACCAAAGCUGCUUACUGGCAAGAAGAGAUGUGGGGAAGACAUGAGCUGGUGAACACCAACCUGGUGCACAUGCUGCCAAGUCUGGCCCCUGAAGAGGAGAGGGAGUGCAGAGUCCAAAAUUGACCGGGGCUCCUGCUCUGGCAUGGAGCUGGGUCAGAGGUGAGAGAGGACCUGGAUCCUAGGGCUCACGCAGGUGUCGGGCGGGUGCCAGGGUCUUUUCACUCCAACUUUUUGGCUGGCACCCGUGUCCGAGCAACAAGGAUGGGCACAAGGGCCAGGCCGGCAAUGAGGAGGGCCCACAGGGGUCGGUAGAAGAGCCAGCCAGCCGCCACGGUCAGCAGGGUCAGCGAGGUGGCCACACAGAAGGCAAAGGCUUUCAGGCCAAUGUUGACCAGGUCUCGGAAAACAGGAAACCAGUCCACUGUGGAAAGGAGAAAGGUGAUGAGGUGCCACCUGCUCUACACCUCACCAGCUCAGCAGAUCUCUCCUGUCCCUAGAUGAGGAUGGGCCCAUGUUGCUACAUGCAUGAGGAGGGGAGAGGAUCAGUGGGUGGAAGGCAAGGAGCUUCGUU